rnacentral:rRNA from 1 species
AUUGAACGCUGGCGGCAUGCCUUACACAUGCAAGUCGAACGGCAACACGCACCAGCUUGCUGGUGUGGUGGCGAGUGGCGAACGGGUGAGUAAUGCGUAGGAAUAUGCCUUAAAGGGUGGGACAACUUGGGGAAACUCAAGCUAAUACCGCAUGAGCUCUUAGGAGGAAAGCUGGGGACCGCGAGGCCUGGCGCUUUAAGAAUAGCCUACGUCCGAUUAGCUAGUUGGUAGGGUAAGGGCCUACCAAGGCGACGAUCGGUAGCUGGUCUGAGAGGAUGGGCAGCCACACUGGAGCUGAGACACGGUCCAGACUCCUACGGGAGGCAGGAGUGGGGAAUAUUGGACAAUGGGGGGAACCCUGAUCCAGCAAUGCCGCGUGUGUGAAGAAGGCCUGAGGGUUGUAAAGCACUUUCGGUGGGGAGGAGGUUAUAUAGGUUAAGAGCUGAUAUAAUGGACGUUACCCACAGAAGAAGCACCGGCUAACUCCGUGCCAGCAGCCGCAGUAA